rnacentral:rRNA from 1 species
GUGAUAUUUUAAACGGCCGCGGUAUCCUAACCGUGCAAAGGUAGCAUAAUCACUUGUCCCCUAAAUAGGGACUGGAAUGAACGGCUACAUGAAGACUUUACUGUCUCUUGCUGCUAGUCAAUGAAACUGAUCUCCCAGUACAAAAGCUGGAAUAACCUCAUAAGACAAAAAGACCCUGUGGAGCUUUUAAACCAAGUACACCAAAAUGUUCUAUCACGGUUUUUAGUUGGGGCGACUUCGGAACAAAAUAAAACUUCCGAAACCAUGGAAUCAUACCCAUAUUUAAGGCCAACACGCCAAGAUUAGUCAUCUACUUGACCCAGUUUACCACAUACUGAUCAAUGAACCAAGUUACCCCAGGGAUAACAGCGCCAUCUUCUUUUAGAGUCCAUAUCGACAAGAAGGUUUACGACCUCGAUGUUGGAUCAGGACACCCAAAUAGUGCAGCCGCUAUUAAAGGUUCGUUUGUUCAACGAUUAAUAGUCCUACGUGAUCU